CAGGAGACUACUUCACAUAGCAGUCUGAGUUUCACAAGAUGCACAGGAAAUUGUCAAACUAGUAGAGGAAAACAUUUCAGAUAUAAAUAAGGAGCAGGGUGUACACUAAUAAUGCGGUAGAAAGUAACAGUAAUUUUGGAAACCAUGAAUAACACACUUUGCAUGUUAUUUAAAAAGUACCAUAAUGAAGUAGGAAAUAGUAUGCAUGCUUAAUUUAUAUGAUUAUACUGUAUUUUUACCUUUUGUUUUGUUUGUGGUGGUUUUGUCCAUUUAUGUUGGGUAGAUGAAUUUGUAAGUGAACCUUGGAGAUGUUUGCUUGCCUUAAACCUGAUGACCUCUAGUGUCUCCCCAAGUGGUUUGUUGAGAUUUUGGAUAAUUAGAAACAUUUCUUCAUUUAAACUUUCCAUUUAUAAAAUAAAAUAAAUUUUAUUUUAGAUCUACUUUAAUGAAGACUAUAGCUUGUAUCUAACUGUUCUAAGUAGUUCAUUUAAACUAGAGAUAUGGAUUUGUCAGCAGAACAAGAUAUAGAAUUGACACUAGAGGAAGAGCAACAAAGCCUUGAAGGGAGUGCAAAUAACCAGCCAGAGGCUGAAGGAGGGAAGCAGCAUGAAAGUAAUGAGGUGGAAACAUUAGAAAGUCUACAUGAUGGUGACGCUGAUGACAGUGAUGGUGAUGGAUCAAUUCCACAAAGAAAGAGUCAAACAAUUGAUAAUCAGCAUCUUGCUGAAAAGGACAAUGAAGAGUCUGAUAGUAAUGGUCCUGCCUUGCAUAUGAAAGAAGUAAAGAAAAAUGAAAGUAAACAACAGACAUCAGAAGAAUCUGCAGUGACACCAGUGUUUGAGAAGGCCAGUGUACCAACUGGUGGUCUGCUACCAAUGAAUGAUGUCAGCAGUUUAAGUGACAUAAAUGACAAGGACAGACGGUAAAAUCUUUAAGUUCUUU
rnacentral:lncRNA from 1 species